rnacentral:lncRNA from 1 species
GAGUGGUAGCUAUUAACUCUUCAAGAUGAGGUAUAGCUGAAUUACAAUGGAGAUAUCAUAUCCAAGUUCACAAAAAUACCAUUUUCAUUUCAUAUAUACAUUAAAGCAAUAUAACUGAAUUACAAUAAAACUUUAAUUAUCCUUCAAAAAAAAAAUACAACUUCAAUUAAUGGAGGUCUUACGGACUUGUUGAGGGGAUGGAAAAAACUCGGCUGUUGAAAGUCUUGAUACUUAUUGGGGAAUAGGGAUAGAACUUGGUUCGAAAGAUUUGACCUUUGUAAAUUGCAAGGUAGUUGUAUGCAACUAGGCUACAAGGUAACUUUAAUAAACUUAUUUUACA